rnacentral:misc_RNA from 1 species
AACGCACAUUGCGCCCGCCAGUAUUCUGGCGGGCAUGCCUGUUCGAGCGUCAUUUCAACCCUCAGGUCCCCCUUUUCGGAGGGGGAGACACCCUGGUGUUGGGGGACGGCCUGGCCUUCUGCGCCGCGCCGCCCCCGAAAUGAAUUGGCGGCCUCGUCGCGUGCCACCCCUGCGUAGUAGCACAACCUCGCAACGGGAGCCCGACGCGGCCACUGCCGUAAAACGCCCAACUUUUAAGAGUUGACCUCGAAUCAGGUAGGAAUACCCGCUGAACUUAA